GGGACGGAGAAGGUUAGCUCAGCCGGGUGUUGGAUGUCCCGGUUCAAGCCUGUAGUCGUGCCUGGUAGGCAAAUCCGCCGGGCUUAGAUGAGGGGUGAUAACGAGGAGGCUUGCCUCCGAAGUGAGUGAUACCCUGCUUCCAGGAAAAGCCACUAAGCUUCAGCUAUUGACGACCGUACCGCAAACCGACACUGGUGCGCGAGAUGAGUAUUCUAAGGCGCUUGAGAGAACUCUGGAGAAGGAACUCGGCAAAUUGACACCGUAACUUCGGAAGAAGGUGUGCCUUUAGUAGGUGUAGUUGUACAAACGAAGCCCAAUGAGGCCGCAGAGAAUCGGUGGCUGCAACUGUUUAUUAAAAACACAGCCCUCU
rnacentral:rRNA from 1 species